GAGGAUGUAGCUCAGAGGUACGGUGCCUGCCUGGCAAGUAUGAGACCCUGAGUUUGAUUCCCAGUACCCCCG
rnacentral:tRNA from 1 species